rnacentral:misc_RNA from 1 species
GGAUGAAGAACGCAGCGAAAUGCGAUAAGUAAUGUGAAUUGCAGAAUUCAGUGAAUCAUCGAAUCUUUGAACGCACCUUGCGCCCUUUGGCCAUUCCGAAGGGCAUGCCUGUUUGAGUAUCAUGAACACCUCAACUCUCAUGGCUCGCCAUGAUGAGCUUGGAUUUGGGGGUCUUGCUGGCCUGUGGUCGGCUCCUCUCAAAUGGAUCAGCUUGCCAGUGUUUGGUGGCAUCACAGGUGUGAUAACUAUCUGCGCUUGUGGUUUUCCAUCAGAUAACCUUCAGUGAUGGAGGUUCGCUGGAGCUCAUAAACGUCUCCCCUAAGCGGGGACAGCCCUUUGAAUGUUUGAUCUCAAAUCAGGUAGGACUACCCGCUGAACUUAAGCAUAUCAAUAAGCGGAGGA